rnacentral:lncRNA from 1 species
GGAUAGAGCGAGGGAUUGGGAGAUGGGCAAGAGAUAAAGAGGGUUUGGAGGGGAGAAGAGAGAUGGAUUGAGUAGUAGUAGUAGUGCACAGCUCCAUGGUCAGAGCUAGAGAGAAAGAAGCUGUUUCAAUCAAGCACUUGAGAAGUGGAAUGGCACUUAAAAAUUGCCAAGGCUAAUAACAUGUGGUUGCGUUUCUAGGGUUUUGCACUUUUACAUUUCUAUCCUCCGGGGUUUUUCUUUUCUUUCUCCUUUACUUGUUUUUUUUUUUUUU